GAAUCCCUAGCACAAGAACACACACAUCAAAGAGUUUUAUGAAGCAAAUCAAGAAUGGACAAGAGUGAGUUUAGAGGUUUGGUCCUUCAUGAUCAUCUUCAACAAUAAGGUACUUUUACUCCAAUUUUUACAUAGGGAAUGUCCUAGAAACUAAGUCCAUUUAUCCAUUUCUUUGAAUUUGGUCCACAACAAUCAAAUCAAAACACAAGCACAAUAAUAUAUACA
rnacentral:lncRNA from 1 species